UGAAUUAAUUUCCCUAUGUAAUUGUCAUGUCUAUGGGGUAUUAAUAUGUGUUUUAAUGCUGCUGACAACCAUUAUCAAGAUUAAUUAACUCUCAUUACGUGCUAACAAUUAAACAGGUCUAUUGGUGAAUACUCACUGUGGAUACCGGAUAAUCCCCAAUCACAUUCCUUUUUUAUUGCGACUUUAAUCAAGAGAGAUAACUCUGUAGUUGUAUGUAUAGAAUGUAGGAACCUGAAGUUUUAUCAAUGAUACAGCUUAAAAAAAAAUAAACCAUUUAUUAAAAGAAAGUGGUCAUAAAGAGUAUGAUUUUCUCUCUUUUAGCUCUUUUCUUGAUAAGACUUUGGACCCCUGUGGUAUAAUCACAAUGACGAUGGAUUUAUCCCUCCAAAACAAAAUGUUUUCUUUGUUGAUCUCAAAAUAAAGAAAUUGAACGACAACAG
rnacentral:misc_RNA from 1 species